rnacentral:rRNA from 1 species
GACGAACGCUGGCGGCGUGCUUAACACAUGCAUGUCGAACGGAAAGGCCCCUUUGGGGGUACUCGAGUGGCGAACGGGUGAGUAACACGUGAGUAACCUGCCCUUGACUUCGGGAUAACUUCAGGAAACUGGGGCUAAUACCGGAUAGGAAUCCUUGCUGCAUGGUGGGGGUUGGAAAGCUUCGGCGGUUUUGGAUGGACUCGCGGCUUAUCAGCUUGUUGGUGGGGUAGUGGCUUACCAAGGCUUUGACGGGUAGCCGGCCUGAGAGGGCGACCGGCCACAUUGGGACUGAGAUACGGCCCAGACUCCUACGGGAGGCAGCAGUGGGGAAUAUUGCACAAUGGGCGGAAGCCUGAUGCAGCAACGCCGCGUGCGGGAUGACGGCCUUCGGGUUGUAAACCGCUUUCAGCAGGGGCGAAGCUUGUGGUGACGGUACCUGCAGAAGAAGCACCGGCUAACUACGUG